rnacentral:rRNA from 1 species
GGGGGAAUUUUGCGCAAUGGGCGAAAGCUUGACGCAGCAACGCCGCGUGUGUGAUGAAGGUCUUCGGAUUGUAAAGCACUUUCGACCGGGACGAACACCCCUGAGCUAACAUCUCAGGGCCUGACGGUACCGGGAGAAGAAGCACCGGCUAACUCUGUGCCAGCAGCCGCGGUAAUACAGAGGGUGCAAGCGUUGUUCGGAAUUAUUGGGCGUAAGGCGCGUGUAGGCGGCUUUGCAAGUCGGGUGUGAAAGCCCUCGGCUCAACCGAGGAAGUGCGCCCGAAACUGCAGAGCUUGAGUACCGGAGAGGAUGGCGGAAUUCCCCAAGUAGAGGUGAAAUUCGUAGAUAUGAGGAGGAACACCGGUGGCGAAGGCGGCCAUCUGGACGGAUACUGACGCUGAGACGCGAAAGCGUGGGGAGCAAACAGGAUUAGAUACCCUGGUAGUCCACGCCGUAAACGAUGAGAACUAGGUGUCGAGGG